rnacentral:lncRNA from 1 species
GUGAUAGUUGAGAGAAAGAGCUGUUCUAUGGGUUCAACCAGGUGAUGUAGUGAGAGAAAGAGCUGUUCUAUGGGGUUCAACCAGGUGAUAGUUGAGAGAAAGAGCUGUUCUAUGGGUUCAACCAGGUGAUAGUUGAGAGAAAGAGCUGUUCUAUGGGGUUCAACCAGGUGAUAGUUGAGAGAAAGAGCUGUUCUAUGGGGUUCAACCAGGUGAUAGUUGAGAGAAAGAGCUGUUCUAUGGGUUCAACCAGGUGAUGUAGUGAGAGAAAGAGCUGUUCUAUGGGUUCAACCAGGUGAUGUAGUGAGAGAAAGAGCUGUUCUAUGGUUUCAACCAGGUGAUGUAGUGAGAGAAAGAGCUGUUCUAUGGGUUCAACCAGGUGAUGUAGUGAGAGAAAGAGCUGUUCUAUGGGUUCAACCAGGUGAUAGUUGAGAGAAAGAGCUGUUCUAUGGGUUCAACCAAGUGAUGUAGUGAGAGAAAGAGCUGUUCUAUGGGUUCAACCAGGUGAUGUAGUGAGAGAAAGAGAUGUUCAAAUGUGGACCUAGAAGGCAG